rnacentral:rRNA from 1 species
UUAGCAUGGAAUAAUGGAAUAGGACGUGCGGGUUCUAUUUUGUUGGUUUCUAGGACCGCCGUAAUGAUUAAUAGGGAUAGUCGGGGGCGUCAGUAUUCAGCUGUCAGAGGUGAAAUUCUUGGAUUUGCUGAAGACUAACUACUGCGAAAGCAUUCGCCAAGGAUGUUUUCAUUAAUCAGGGAACGAAAGUUAGGGGAUCGAAGACGAUCAGAUACCGUCGUAGUCUUAACCAUAAACUAUGCCGACUAGGGAUCGGACGGGAUUCUAUGAUGACCCGUUCGGCACCUUACGAGAAAUCAAAGUUUUUGGGUUCUGGGGGGAGUAUGGUCGCAAGGGUGAAACUUAAAGAAAUUGACGGAAGGGCACCACAAGGCGUGGAGCCUGCGGCUUAAUUUGACUCAACACGGGGAAACUCACCAGGUCCAGA